rnacentral:rRNA from 1 species
AUUGAACGCUGGCGGCAUGCCUUACACAUGCAAGUCGAACGGCAGCGGGGACUUCGGUCCGCCGGCGAGUGGCGAACGGGUGAGUAAAGUAUCGGAACGUACCUUUCAGUGGGGGAUAACGUAGCGAAAGUUACGCUAAUACCGCAUAUUCUGUGAGCAGGAAAGCAGGGGAUCGCAAGACCUUGCGCUGAUUGAGCGGCCAAUAUCAGAUUAGCUAGUUGGUGAGGUAAAGGCUCACCAAGGCGACGAGCUGUAGCGGGUCUGAGAGGAUGAUCCGCCACACUGGAACUGAGACACGGUCCAGACUCCUACGGGAGGCAGCAGUGGGGAAUUUUGGACAAUGGGGGCAACCCUGAUCCAGCCAUGCCGCGUGAGUGAAGAAGGCCUUCGGGUUGUAAAGCUCUUUCGGCCGGGAGGAAAUCGCACAGGCUAAUACCCUGUGUGGAUGACAGUACCGGAAUAAGAAGCACCGGCUAACUACGUGCCAGCAGCCGCCGUAAUAC